rnacentral:misc_RNA from 1 species
CAGCUCCACAGACUCUGGGUCCAGCACCUCAGGUUCCAAGAAGAGCUGGUGAGCCUCCUUGUGGAGCCAAUUUUCUGGCACAGGGUACUUGUUGGGGUCAAGUCGCCGCACGAUCUCCUCGAUGCUCUUGUGCUUCUGGAUGAGGUCCACAGCCCGCUUGGGCCCAAUACCCCGGAUACUCUCACAGUAGUCACUGCCUAGCAGGAUGCACAGAUCCACAAACUGUUCCUGGUUCAGGCCCAG